rnacentral:lncRNA from 1 species
GUUCCUCCAUCUGCUCGUAAGGAAUAAAAACAGACAUCGAAGGAAUAUAGAGAACGAAAGAGCUUCAUAGAAAGGAAACUGAGGCAGUGUUGGGGCAAGAAUCCUCUUUGUGGUGAUUUCUUAGCACAGGUAAGGUCUGGUGGUUUAAUGCAGAUAUUCCCUCCGAUUCUCCUUAAUCUAACUUAAUUUUCAUCUGAAAGAGUCCAGUGAGUUCUCUCUACGAGAAAAGGGCUCUUUCUGCCCAUUCUUCUGUGGUGCCGGG